GGAUGUGAGGGCAAUCUGGCUGUGACAUCUGUCACCCCAUUGUUCUCCAAGGUUGAUUGAGCUGAUCUGGCUGGCUAGGCAAGUGUCCCCUUCCUCCCUCAUUGCUCCAUGUGCGUCCCUCCCGAAGCUGCACGCUCAGUCAAAGAGGACGAAUAUCCCUGAAUAAAGAAAUGUAUGCUUUCCUGUGUUCUUGGGUUAAGACUUCCUUCUUCAUCUGUAUAUAGUAUUCCUUCAACUGGUCAUGAAUGAUAUA
ensembl:misc_RNA predicted gene, 25780